GGAAUCUUGCACAAUGGGGGAAACCCUGAUGCAGCGACGCCGCGUGAGUGAUGAAGCCCUUCGGGGUGUAAAGCUCUUUCAGCGGGAACGAUUAUGACGGUACCCGCAGAAGCAGCUUCGGCGAACUACGUGCCAGCAGCCGAGGUAAUACGUAGGAAGCAAGCGUUGUUCGGAGUUACUGGGCGUAAAGAGUGCGUAGGCGGUUCGGUAAGUUCGGUGUGAAAUCUCCCGGCUCAACUGGGAGGGUGCGCCGGAAACUGCCGUGCUUGAGCGUGGGAGAGGAAAGCGGAAUUCCUGGUGUAGCGGUGAAAUGCGUAGAUAUCAGGAGGAACACCGGCGGUGUAGACGGCUUUCUGGACCACUGCUGACGCUGAGGCACGAAAGCGUGGGGAGCAAAC
rnacentral:rRNA from 1 species